rnacentral:rRNA from 1 species
GCUUACGGCCAUACCACCUUGAAUGCGCCCGAUCUUGUCUGAUCUUGGAAGCUAAGCAGGGUCAGGCCUGGUUAGUACUUGGAUGGUUGACCACCUGGGAAUACCAGGUGCUGUAAGCU